rnacentral:miRNA from 1 species
AACUAAGUUUGUUAUUGGUAUGAGCUUUUGUGUAUGCACACUUCUUCAGAUACCUUCAGAUACUUCAAGUAUCUGAAGAAGUGUGCAUGCACAUGAAAGCUCAUACCAAUAACAAACUUAGUUGG